rnacentral:rRNA from 1 species
AGCAGUCGCCACGGGAAUACGGAGGGUGCAAGCGUUAUCCGGAUUUAUUGGGUUUAAAGGGUCCGUAGGCGGAUCUGUAAGUCAGUGGUGAAAUCUCACAGCUUAACUGUGAAACUGCCAUUGAUACUGCAGGUCUUGAGUAAAUUUGAAGUGGCUGGAAUAAGUAGUGUAGCGGUGAAAUGCAUAGAUAUUACUUAGAACACCAAUUGCGAAGGCAGGUCACUAAGAUUUAACUGACGCUGAUGGACGAAAGCGUGGGGAGCGAACAGGAUUAGAUACCCCCGUAGUCCCUGUCUCUUAUAC